CUGGCAGAGGAUAAAAGCCGCCGCGGCUGCCUCAGGAACCGCGCUGUCUCGUCUCGGCUACCCCCGGUUGGGCGGCCCUGCGAAGCAGCUCCUUCGGGCAGCCCCUGGUCGCUUAGCAGCCCAGGAGGCUUCAAUUCUUUGCCCCCUGCAGAGCGGAGGAGACCAGAAGGCAGAAUCUACAGCUGGCGACGCGGGAGCAUCAGCUGCCCACCAGCGGAGCACAGGUAAAGAAGCGGGGUGCGAUUGCCCGGCGGGGAGAGGGGUGGGGGAAGACCCACCAGUACUGGGCGGCUCCCCGCUUGGAGAAUCGGUGACUGCGAGACAGGGGUAGGAGUACUCUCGUGGCCCGGCUGCGCUGAGGGAGGAGGUGGGGUUCACCUGGAUACUGCGGACUGGGUAGGAUUUGCCUGGAUUUGGGGGUGGGGGGGAGAGGCAAGGGGUAGCGGCGGGGCGGGGGGGUAGGAAUCUCAAGCUGUUUGCUUCAAACCUCCUUUGCAUCUACUCAUCUCUUUCUGGGAGGAAUAUGUGGGUGGGUGUGUCCAACUCCUAUUCCCUUUCUCGGUGGCAGGCCAUCAAAGCCGCAUCUGAACUUGAAUUCUGUGCAGCUGAUUGCAGAGCUGGUAGGCCGACGGCUUCCUGGGGGAGAUGUAAUGCUGGGGGUGGGGGGCUGGUCUCUGGCUUAUAGUCAGGAGCGGGCAGAGAGAAUUUUUCGCCUGGCAACAGCGGAGGUUGUGGGUAGCAGGAUGACGGGUGAAGCUGCUUCUAACCCUUCCCUUCUCUGGCCUUCUCCGCUGUGGCGCAAUCUUGAAACCUCGAGGACCCGGAUCUGCGACCCCCUGUGGACAGAGGUUGACCGUACCCGGAGAGGAGCUUUCCCACGGACGGCACUAGUUGCAGAGGCUGGAAAUGAAAUAAAGGCGCGCUCUUGUUUCAGAGUUCGUCCCCUGCUGAGAUAGGAAGGCAGAGCCACCCCCUCUCCUCUCCUGCCUGCAGAUUAAGCUUUUCUAAAAAGUCUAGGCAUCUUAUAUUCAG
ensembl:lncRNA